rnacentral:lncRNA from 1 species
GGUGCUUGAAGCAAGACUACACCAUGUGAACUCGACCGACCGACAGAUACGUGGCCACAUGGGGUUAGUUUGAACUUCGGUUUGUUACCAAAGAAAAACGUUUUGUGAUUAUUGUUAUAUAAUGCUUGUGCGACUGCUUAAGAUGGGAGGAAGAAGAUUAUAAAAAGGUAGAGACCGCAAACAAAAAGUUGUAUAGUUAUCUUUUCUCUCUUUGGAUCUCUCCCCAUCUUCUGAUCUGAGUCAUUUUACAAUGUAACUAUGAUCUAAAUAAACUAAUAACGAUAAUAAUGUGUAGAACAUAAUUUUUCACAAGAAAUCUCUCUUGAUUUUAU